CAAUAAACCUGCCACCAACCCACUGCGGGCUGUCACGUCUGCUCCUUGGUAGCAACUUCAGCUAAAGAGACCUCUUGGGAGAAGGGCAGUAAAUCAAGAUGGAGAUCUCUGGCUCUGUUCCCAAGAGUGCAGCCUUUGGGUGCAACCCAUGAACAUGGCUUUGGAGCUUGUGUGUCACCAAAACUGCAGGAAAAACAGAAAAUCUCCAACAACAUCUUUCAGUGUCAGAGAAGCAGGCAUCCCUUCAUUCUGGCCAGAACAUGCAAUGGAAUUAUUUCAUCCACACAUGCCUAUCAUGUGCAGUGAAGAUCACUUUGACGCCCAUGAUUCUUUACCAGACUUUUCUCAUAUUUCUCAAUAAAGACCCCAAAGAAAUUU